AGCGAACGCUGGCGGCAGGCCUAACACAUGCAAGUCGAACGAAGUCUUCGGACUUAGUGGCGGACGGGUGAGUAACACGUGGGAACGUACCUUUUGGUUCGGAACAACUCAGGGAAACUUGAGCUAAUACCGGAUGAGCCCUUAGGGGGAAAGAUUUAUCGCCGAAAGAGCGGCCCGCGUUAGAUUAGCUAGUUGGUGAGGUAAAGGCUCACCAAGGCUACGAUCUAUAGCUGGUCUGUGAGGAUGAUCAGCCACACUGGGACUGAGACACGGCCCAGGCUCCUACGGGAGGGAGCAGUGGGGGAUCUUGCGCAAUGGUCGUAAGCCUGACGCAGCCAUGCCGCGUGAAUGAUGAAGGUCUUAGGAUUGUAAAAUUCUUUUACCAGGGACGAUAAUGACGGUACCUGGAGAAAAAGCCCCGGCUAACUUCGUUCCAGCCGCCGCAGUAAAAC
rnacentral:rRNA from 1 species